rnacentral:rRNA from 1 species
UACGAAGGGGGCUAGCGUUGUUCGGAAUUACUGGGCGUAAAGGGCGCGUAGGCGGUGUGUCAAGUCAGGCGUGAAAGCCCCGGGCUCAACCUGGGAACCGCGCUUGAGACUGGCACGCUCGAGUUCGGGAGAGGAUGGUGGAAUUCCCAGUGUAGAGGUGAAAUUCGUAGAUAUUGGGAAGAACACCGAUGGCGAAGGCAGC